rnacentral:rRNA from 1 species
GAUGAACGCUGGCGGCGUGCCUAAUACAUGCCAGUCGAGCGAACGGACGAGAAGCUUGCUUUUCUGAUGUUAGCGGCGGACGGGUGAGUCACACGUGGAUAACCUACCUAUAAGACUGGGAUAACUUCGGGAAACCGGAGCUAAUACCGGAUAAUAUUUUGAACCGCAUGGUUCAAAAGUGAAAGACGGUCUUGCUGUCACUUAUAGAUGGAUCCGCGCUGCAUUAGCUAGUUGGUAAGGUAACGGCUUACCAAGGCAACGAUGCAUAGCCGACCUGAGAGAGUGAUCGGCCACACUAGAACUGAGACACGGUCCAGACUCCUACGGGAGGCAGCAGUAGGGAAUCGUCCGCAAUGGGCGAAAGCCUGACGGAGCAACGCCGCGUGAGUGAUGAAGGUCUUCGGAUCGUAAAACUCUGUUAUUAGGGAAGAACAUAUGUGUAAGUAACUGUGCACAUCUUGACGGUACCUAAUCAGAAAGCCACGGCUAACUACGUG